rnacentral:rRNA from 1 species
AUUGAACGCUGGCGGCAGGCCUAACACAUGCAAGUCGAGCGGUAGAGAGAAGCUUGCUUCUCUUGAGAGCGGCGGACGGGUGAGUAAUGCCUAGGAAUCUGCCUGGUAGUGGGGGAUAACGUCCGGAAACGGACGCUAAUACCGCAUACGUCCUACGAGAGAAAGCAGGGGACCUUCGGGCCUUGCGCUAUCAGAUGAGCCUAGGUCGGAUUAGCUAGUUGGUGAGGUAAUGGCUCACCAAGGCGACGAUCCGUAACUGGUCUGAGAGGAUGAUCAGUCACACUGGAACUGAGACACGGUCCAGACUCCUACGGGAGGCAGCAGUGGGGAAUAUUGGACAAUGGGCGAAAGCCUGAUCCAGCCAUGCCGCGUGUGUGAAGAAGGUCUUCGGAUUGUAAAGCACUUUAAGUUGGGAGGAAGGGCAGUAAGCUAAUACCUUGCUGUUUUGACGUUACCGACAGAAUAAGCACCGGCUAACUCUGUGCCAGCAGCCGCGGUAACAC